UCUUUGUAUAACUUUAUCUUAAUUUUGUUGUUUUUAAUUGUAUUGUCUCUGCCAAAAUCAUUGGCAUAAUAUUGACAUAUAUAUAUGCACACUUUUGGAUUUACACUGUAUUUAAUAUUAUUGUAUUGAUAUAUCACUAAUAUUGGUUUUGGAAACAUCUGAUGUUGAAUAUGUAUAUAUUGUGUGUUGUUGAAUGUCUUUGAUAUAAAUACUUACAGGUGAGAUGUUCCAUGGCUCAGCCAGAGUUAACUUGGGCCAAUGGGACUCUAGUCAUUCCCUGAGUAAAGACCUGUACACGCCCUUGGUGAACGUCGCCGUCGAGUAGUGACUUGGAUCCAUCCACCUCUCCUGUGAGGGGUAUCCCUGAGCACACUCCAGGGACUCCUCCUUGGGCAGACUCCUAGUGGUGAGGCUAAUAUGUGGGUCCAGGAAAAGAGAGCCCAAUUAUUCCCUCUAUCUUCGACAUAUUCUCCCCCACCUGUCGAGCCUCAUGUUAGAGUUGGUGUUAUCUAUAUUUCCAGUGGUGGGGAGGAAUCAAAGGAAGACUCCGAGGAGGUUAGUGUGGGAGGGUGUUAGGAGGUGGAGA
rnacentral:lncRNA from 1 species